UUUGCACAAACAACCAUGUCUCCCUCUUUCCAGGAUCUGACGCCAUGACAGCCCAUAUCCUCUCUCUUAGUUGCACCAGCUAACCAUCGAUACCCAUCUUAGCCAAAAAUCUAGAUAUGCGUCUUGAGUGUUACUUUUUAGAUUCAUAGGUUUUGAGUUUGCUAGUUUGCAGCCUCAGCACUGGAGAUUCAUGACAAGGAACGCCAUCACCCUCUGCCAAAAGUUAAUUUUAAUUAUUCAAGAUUUUAUCAAAAGGCUCUUUCAAUUUAGCUUUGCGGAACCUCACGGCUGCACUCUCAAGUUGGUUUUACUAAAUUUUAUGGAACCUCACUGGAAGAGGUGCCAUGUGAUUGGUUGAAGUUGUAGAAAAAGCUGGGUGAGAGGACGGUGGGAGAGAAUUCUAUUUGUAUUUUUCGAACCUGACUUGAGACCUCCUGUUGGGUUCUCUAAUCUCAGCCACCCACUUCACCCAUUUUCUCCAAUUAAAGCUUCUUUGGUACAUGUAAGUAUACUUAAUUUCCACUUGCAUUUAGGCCGAAGUUGUUAAGUUUCAGUUUUUUCAGAAAAUGUGACUACACACGCAUGUUGACUGUUAAUUUUGCACAGGUUGUGGGUUAGUUUUGAGGUAUAAUUACAUGGUUUUAAACUAUACAUAUCCAGGAUUGUAAUUUGGUUGAAGUUUAAUACCUGAGUUUGGUAAGUAUGGCUACAAAAUCUGUCAAAAACAGGGGCUGCACUUUCAGGUUUGAAACACUUACUUUGGACUGCCUUAUCUUAAAAAUUAGAGCACCGUUUCUGUCAAAUUUUAUAUGGUUUCAAAGUUUAUUUAAUCAACUUCAGGAUGCAUGUAAAUUGGUAGAUUUUUAUGGAGUUUAAGGUGUUUAAUUCUGAGUUCAAAGUUUAAUACACAGUAGCUGAAAUUGUGUUAGUUUCAUAGAUGGUGGAGCAACAACAGUUUCCUAAAAGCUCAUGUCAAGACAUAAGUUGGUGGUUCAAUUGAUGAAUGUCAAGGAUCUUAGCAUAGCUCACGUCAAGAGCCAUCUUCAAGAGCAAGAAGAUAAAGACUCCAAUCAAGCUGUUGUAGCAUGGAAAUCAGGGACGCCAAUGGUGAUUGAAGGUUUAUAAAGAGCCAUCCAUGUAUGAUAAAUUAAUGACACUAGGAUCUAGUAAAUAUGUAAUAAUUUAAAUGUAUUCAUACAUUUAAGUAUAUGGUUGUAUUUUAAAUUAUUGUAUAUAGAUACUGUUUUAGUGGAUGUACAAUUUCUAAUUUGUUUUCAA